AGCGGCGGACGGGUGAGUAAUGCUUGGGAAUAUGCCUUAUGGUGGGGGACAACAGUUGGAAACGACUGCUAAUACCGCAUGAUGUCUACGGACCAAAGUGGGGGACCUUCGGGCCUCACGCCAUAAGAUUAGCCCAAGUGGGAUUAGCUGGUUGGUGAGGUAAUGGCUCACCAAGGCGACGAUCCCUAGCUGGUUUGAGAGGAUGAUCAGCCACACUGGGACUGAGACACGGCCCAGACUCCUACGGGAGGCAGCAGUGGGGAAUAUUGCACAAUGGGCGCAAGCCUGAUGCAGCCAUGCCGCGUGUGUGAAGAAGGCCUUCGGGUUGUAAAGCACUUUCAGUAAGGAGGAAAGGUUAAUUGUUAAUAUUGCUUAGCUGUGACGUUACUUACAGAAGAAGCACCGGCUAACUCCGUGCCAGCAGCCGCGGUAAUACAGAGGGUGCGAGCGUUAAUCGGAAUUACUGGGCGUAAAGCGUACGCAGGCGGUUUGUUAAGCGAGAUGUGAAAGCCCCGGGCUCAACCUGGGAACUGCAUUUCGAACUGGCAAACUAGAGUGUGAUAGAGGGUGGUAGAAUUUCAGGUGUAGCGGUGAAAUGCGUAGAGAUCUGAAGGAUACCGAUGGCGAAAGCAGCCACCUGGGUCAACACUGACGGCUAAGUUUAAACUCAAUGACUGACCGGGGGACCGCGCA
rnacentral:rRNA from 1 species